rnacentral:rRNA from 1 species
AAUGAAUGUUGGCGGCAUGGAUUAGGCAUGCAAGUCGAGCGGGUGUAGCAAUACAUCAGCGGCGUAAGGGACAGGAACACGUAGACUACCUGCCCUCGGGUCUGGAAUAGCCACGGGAAACUGUGGGUAAUGCCAGAUAACAUCUCCGGAUCAAAGGUGUGAUUCCGCCCGAGGAUGGGUCUGCGUCCUAUUAGCUAGUUGGUGAGGUAACGGCUCACCAAGGCGAAGAUGGGUAGCAGGUGUGAGAGCACGACCUGCGUCAUUGGGACUGAGACACUGCCCAGACACCUACGGGUGGCUGCAGUCGAGAAUUUUUGGCAAUGGGCGAAAACCUGACCAAGCGAUGCCGCGUGCGGGAUGAAGGCCUUCGGGUUGUAAACCGCUGUCAGUGGGGAGGAAGGCUCCGUGAAGAACGGGGUUUGACCUAUCCGCAGAGGAAGUGUGGGCUAAGUUCGUGCCAGCCGCCGCGGUAACAC